AUACGGAGGGUCCAAGCGUUAUCCGGAUUCAUUGGGUUUAAAGGGUCCGCAGGCGGGAAAAUAAGUCAGUGGUGAAAGCCUACAGCUCAACUGUAGAACUGCCAUUGAAACUGUUUUUCUUGUGUAUAGAUGAAGUGGGCGGAAUAUAUCAUGUAGCGGUGAAAUGCAUAGAUAUGAUAUAGAACACCGAUUGCGAAGGCAGCUCACUAAACUAUUACUGACGCUCAGGGACGAAAGCGUGGGGAGCGAACAGGAUUAGAAACCCCAGUAGUCC
rnacentral:rRNA from 1 species